rnacentral:sRNA from 1 species
UUCUUUGGGAGAGCAACUGGUCAACUGAGUAAAUCAGAUCAACUUGAAAUUCGUAUGACGGCAUGCAGUCUAUAAAAAUGGGAGAGAGCUUUUAGACAGUCACGAAGCGACGUCACAAGCGGAAGAGAAAUGUUUUGAUGAAAUUCUUUGUAUUUUGCUAUUCGUAGUGCUUAAAGCAAAGCAGAGAGAGAGCUUUUAUACAGUCGCGGAGUUGGCUUCAAACGAGUAAUGAGUCAGCUGCCCCACACAGUCACAAUAGAUAAACGAAUGGAAGAAGUUAAUGCGGAAAAUGAAACAACGCCACAGGCCACAGUUACGUCACAAGCGAAAGUAUUGGCUAUCGGAGAUAGGAGCAUACAAAAAACAGGAAAUAACAAUAAGACUGAUUUUAAGGAUGACUGUACAAUUCAUCUUGCUCGACUUUUGAUGGGAGCAGGAGUUCCUGUAGGCAAAAGAAAUAGUUGCGAUUUGUCGGAUAGGUUUACAAUGGAGAUUAUUGAGGAUGAUAACAAAACCAAAAGCUGUCAUUUUCAUUGUCAGACCGAUGUAAACUUUACAAAUAAUGGUAAUGGCUAUAAUAGUCUGCUGGUCAAUGCAGAGGCCAUAAUGCAUGGAGUGAGACAACGAUUGAAAGGAGAAAAUUGGAAAUCGAAAUAUGUGAUGGAGCUGCCACUCAAAUCCAAACCUAAUCCUAAACUAUAUGGAUUCGGAGAACUUUAUGAUACCCAUCACUAUAUUAAUGAUGUAAUUGGAAGCGUCUUUCGUGACGAAGAAAAUCAACUUUAUCAUUUCCUCUGUUAUUUUCACAAUGAAUAUGUUGAAGAAAAGACGAAAAAAUAAAUUUCUUGUGACCAGUUUUAAAAAUC